GCCAGACUUGGAACCGGGAGAGGUAAGAGGUACUACAGGGGUAGGAGUCGAAAUCUUGUAAAUCCCUGUGGGGACCACCUGUGGCGAAGGCGUCUUACCAGAACGGGUUCGACGGUGAGGGACGAAAGCUGGGGGCACGAACCGGAUUAGAUACCCGGGUAGUCCCAGCCGUAAACGAUGCUCGCUAGGUGUCAGGCAUGGCGCGACCGUGUCUGGUGCCGCAGGGAAGCCGUGAAGCGAGCCACCUGGGAAGUACGGCCGCAAGGCUGAAACUUAAAGGAAUUGGCGGGGGAGCACAACAACGGGUGGAAGCCUGCGGUUUAAUUGGACUCAAACGCCGGACAACUCACCGGGGGACGACAGCAAUAUGUAGGCCAAGCUGAAGACUUUGCCUGAAUCGCUGAGGGGAGGUGCAUGG
rnacentral:rRNA from 1 species